rnacentral:lncRNA from 10 species
CUCUGGACCAGACGCCGCCUGCACGGGUGGGGACGCUGGUCGCUGCCGGGGGCAAGUCUGCCGACUCCAGAAAGAAAGGCGAAAGAAUAGAUUGUGAAGCUAAGUGCUGUGAGGGAAACCAGAGGCAGCUGAGAUGUCGUGGAAGUAACAGCGAAUGAAGCCAGGAUGCUGGAUUCUGACCUUGGAACUGUUCUGAAGACACAGGAUCUCAUUAUGUUACCCAGGAUGAUCUCAAACCCAUGGACUCAAGCAAUUCUCCUGCAUCAGCCUCCCAAAGUGCUGGGAUUACAGGAGGCUGUUUGAUGCAAGACUCCCACCUGCGGGUAUCAUAGUCCAGGGUAAGGCCAUUGGGCCAACCCAGGUCUGUGUUGAUGAGGACCUUCCGCUCAGAACCAUCCAAGUUUGCCCGUUCGAUCUUGGCAAUGUGGCCCCAGUCUGUCCAGAAGAGGUACCUGAGACACAACAGUGCCAUCAUCAUCAAGGCAUGGGAAGACAGCACCCAGAGGUUGAGAGAACACAGAGGACCCACUAACACCAUCUUUCCACCCAGCCCUUCUUCCCUGGAUCUCUCUUCUGCUGGCCAUAAACUUACCCCUUCCUGGGGAAAACAGCAAUGGCCCGGGGCUCAUCCAGGCUAUUGUUGAUCAGUACUUUGCGGCAGGAACCAUCCAGCCUGGACGCCUCAAUGGUAUUUCGACCUGUGUCUGUCCAGUACAGGUUCCUGGCCACCC